rnacentral:rRNA from 1 species
AGAGUUUGAUUCUGGCUCAGAANCAACGCUGGCGGCGUGCCUAAGACAUGCAAGUCGUGCGGAAAGGCUCCUUCGGGAGUACUCGAGCGGCGCACGGGUGAGUAACACGUGGGCAAUCUACCUGAGGGUCUGGGAUAACCCCGGGAAACUGGGGCUAAUACCGGGUGAGACCACGGCGUCUUCGGGCGCAGCGGUCAAAGAUGGCCUCUCCUUGGAAGCUAUCGCCCACAGAUGAGCCCGCGUCCCAUUAGCUAGUUGGCGGGGUAACGGCCCACCAAGGCGACGAUGGGUAGCUGGUCUGAGAGGAUGAUCAGCCACACUGGAACUGAGACACGGUCCAGACUCCUACGGGAGGCAGCAGUCGGGAAUUUUGGGCAAUGGGCGAAAGCCUGACCCAGCAACGCCGCGUGAGGGAUGAAGGCCUUCGGGUCGUAAACCUCUGUCGGGAGGGACGAAAGGUCGGCGGUCGAAUAGGCCGAAGGCUUGACGGUACCUCUAGAGGAAGCGCCGGCUAACUCCGUGCCAGCAGCCGCGGUAAUACGGAGGGCGCAAGCGUUGUUCGGAAUUACUGGGCGUAAAGCGCGUGUAGGCGGCCAGGUAAGUCGGAUGUGAAAGCCCGGGGCCCAACCCCGGAACUGCACCCGAUACUGCCUGGCUGGAGUCCCGGAGAGGAUGGCGGAAUUUCCGGUGUAGAGGUGAAAUUCGUAGAUAUCGGAAGGAACACCAGUGGCGA